GCUGUCCCCAGCUGGAUGACGCCUUCCCCACCCAUGAUUGCACAAGCCUCAACUGCGAAGGGCACCUGCUCCUGCCGUCCUAUGUCUCUCGCUCACAGACACAAGGAGGGGGGUACAAAAGGAAUUUCCCCUUUCAUCCUUCCUCCAUGUCUUUCACUCCCCUGUCCUUGGCACUGGGCCAGCAGCUGCAGUUUCAGUCCUGAAGAGAGUUUGCAACCAACUGAUACUGAAUGAUUGAUAUGCACUUCUUUCUUCCAUCAUAAAGGGAGGUAGUUGGAAGAAGCCAAAGCUACACCGUGUUUCAAACAGCUGGAGAAUAGCACAAAUACUGGAGAAAAAAAACACAUGCAACAUCCUGUGAGCUGGCGUUUUCAUAGAAUUUAAAAAUAAAUGUCAAGAAACGG
rnacentral:lncRNA from 1 species